rnacentral:lncRNA from 1 species
GCAAAACCGACUUUAUAUCAAAGCCAAACGACCGUCAUCUUACCUCAGUCACCUCCUCGGCCUCGUAGGAAGGACAUCAUGGCGAUCACGUUGUUCCCUUUCUUUAUCGGCUUUCAUCCACGUGAUGACGGAAUGGCCGCGUGAGAGAGCGACCCCUUUCAUGGACGCGCGUCAGAAGCAGAGAUGCGUGAUUGAAUUCCUCCACGCGGAAGGAGUCGGACCGAUCGACAUCCACCGGCGCCUGGUGAGGGUUUACAGAGCCGAGGCGGUUGACGUCAGCACGGUCAGGAGAUGGGUUCGUCGACUCCGGAGUGGCGACAGGGAUCUGAGCGACAAAUCCCGCUCCGGACGCCCUUGCACGGCCACCACUCGGGAAAAUGAAGUGCGCCUCGAUCAGAUCAUCCGUGCCAAUCGGGAGAUAACGGUGAAUGAAAUGCGCGCAGAGUUGGAUGUGGGCGUCAGUGCACUGGAAACGAUGCUGUCAUCCCUAGGCUACACGGGGGGCGACAGAUGGGUCAAAAGGAAGCGCACAAAGGAGCAAAGUGAUUGACAGAAUGGCAGUCAGGAGAAGCAAAGCAGCUGAAGAUGCAGACGUCCGCAGGCAGAGUGAUGUACAUUCUUCAGGGACAGAAAGGGCAUCAGCCUCAUGGAUUUCGUAGAACCAGGGUCAACCGUCGGCUCUGACUUGCUCUGAAGCGUUGGCCAAGCUCAAGGCCAAAGAGGAGGAACAUUGUUUGCAACACAGCAAUGCCGGCCCACGCAAGUUUUGAAGACCAAGGAAUGUGAGUUUGGCUCGACAGUGCUGCCUCGCCUACCACAUGUUGAUCUGGCACUGUCUGACUUCCACCUAUCCGAGCCUUCGAAGGACGAAUUGUGCAGGCAGCGUUUUCCUGACGUCUACAUCGCCAUGAAGAAGCGAAUAGCCUUGACAGACUUAACCAAUGGUUGAAGGAAAUUGGUGACAUGGCCUGAAUGUGAAGGUGGAAAGCAAGUUGGCAAAAUGGGCGACUGCCCAAAUGAAGUAUGUCAAAAUGCGUUGAAGAUAAAGAUGGUGUGGGAGAAGACAUCUGGACAUCUCGGCAUAGACAAGAUUGUCCAAAGGGGUUGAAUCAGUUAAUUGAUGGACUGUAAGACCAGAUUGCCUGGAAGAGAAUGUGCGGCCUACCUGAUUAAGCUGAAAGAGGUGUGUACAAGUCAUAGUGAAGUUUCCAGGUUGACCAUGAGAAAUUUAUUGAAGCCAAUUAGCAAAAUGGACGACUGCCUGAAUAAUGGAGUUGGAACAACCAAAAGUGAACUGUAAGACUAAGAGUCUGUAGGCAUUAAUAGGCGAGUUUUAAUAAGAUGACGUGUGAUUGAAAGAUGUUCCUUCCAUUGCAUGGAAAGAAUGGUGUGGCAUUGACAACCAAUUUGAUUGGGUGUAUGGUAGAUUGAAGGGAUUGCAGGAGUGAACUGCUAAUAGGGUACUGAAUUGGAUAAGUGGAAUCUCUUCCAUGACUGGAAAGCAACCAAAGUAUGUGGAGCAAAGUGGAGGUGCUAUAGCUGGAGUCCCUCAACCCCACCUCCCUUUAUCCCUUGAGGCAGUGCACCAAAUGAGGGAAUGCCAGGACGGAUUCCCCUUUUUGGUACAUGCCACAUUUUGCACAUGUUCCCUUUUGUUGCAAUUCUGUGAAACCUUUUUAUAUAUGUUGCUGUUGCAUAUAUAUAUAUAUUUUUUUACACAUUGCGGUGAACCUCCUGCAAUGGGUAUGUCUUGGUGUGUAGACCUGGAAUAAAAGUAUCUUGCGUUUCUGCAGUAUGAUUAUUCCAGGGUGUGCCAGAUGCUUUUUGACAAUAAAAACCUUGUGUGUUA